AUGAACGCUGGCGGCGUGCCUAAUACAUGCAAGUCGAGCGAACAGACGAGGAGCUUGCUCCUCUGACGUUAGCGGCGGACGGGUGAGUAACACGUGGAUAACCUACCUAUAAGACUGGGAUAACUUCGGGAAACCGGAGCUAAUACCGGAUAAUAUAUUGAACCGCAUGGUUCAAUAGUGAAAGACGGUUUUGCUGUCACUUAUAGAUGGAUCCGCGCCGCAUUAGCUAGUUGGUAAGGUAACGGCUUACCAAGGCAACGAUGCGUAGCCGACCUGAGAGGGUGAUCGGCCACACUGGAACUGAGACACGGUCCAGACUCCUACGGGAGGCAGCAGUAGGGAAUCUUCCGCAAUGGGCGAAAGCCUGACGGAGCAACGCCGCGUGAGUGAUGAAGGUCUCCGGAUCGUAAAACUCUGUUAUUAGGGAAGAACAAAUGUGUAAGUAACUAUGCACGUCUUGACGGUACCUAAUCAGAAAGCCACGGCUAACUACGUG
rnacentral:rRNA from 1 species